GCCUAAUCUUAACCGAUGUAUCUUUAUUUGUUCAUCUCUACGAAAAUCUUUCAGGUUCUACGGGAAUGUGUACCAGAGCCUUCCAUAAUGCAAACUGUUCCGCAGUAUACACCGAGGUUAUAGGGUUUAGGGCCCAGGAGUGGACCACACCAUCAACUACCAUGGCGGAUCCCGCCCCUUGUUGGUUUUUCGAGCCAUCAGUAAAGAUAACCGUUUUAUUUGUGUAGUUGUUAGCGAUCUCCUCAAAUAGACGUAUCAACCACGGGUAGCAAUUGUACUGGUUUUUCUGCACUAGGUGAGGUAUUGUUUCGUGUAGUUCCCCCAGGAUCUCUUUAAACCGUAUCCCGAGCGGUCGUGGGAUAGUUGGCCUGGCGUCAAAAUCAUUUCCGUCUGGAAAUAGGAAAACAUUGUUCGGCUGUUGUCUUCGCGUAUCCAAUGGAGGCAAGUUCGAUUCACAAUAAAGACUGUGUAUAGGAGUGGUAGGAAACGCGCCUAAACAAUACUUUAUUCCAGUAUUAUGCACCCUAUCUAAUAGUAAUAGCGACGAUUUACGGGCUGAUGCAUAUACAAUCGCUCCAUAGUCGAUUUGCGACAUAACUAAGGCCCGGUAUACGUUUAUUAGCAUUUGCACCUCAGCACCCCAUUUGGUGUUCAAUAUGCGCGUUCCACGUUAGUUUGCUAUCAAACGUCAAUCCCAGAAAUUUUGUCGCUGUCACACACGCAACUGGUCUAUUUCCGAUAUAGAGUGACGGAUCAUAAUGUGGUCUGCGCAAUUUACAAAAAUGAACGCAUUUAGUUUUUUCCCUGGAAAAUUGUUUAACGUUUAUCUGGCCUACAGUGGCCCCGGAGCAAUAUAUCGCCAAGUCAUCAACAUAUAGAGCCCGAGAAACACCAGGCUCCACUCCGUACGCAAUCUCGUUAAUUGCAAUCAAAAACAGUGUACAGCUCAGCGUGGAGCCUUGCGGUACACCGUUUUCCAGUCGUUGAACUUUUGACAAAGUGUUUCCUAUCCGCACCCGGAAAUAUCUAUCGGUCAUAAACGAUUU